rnacentral:rRNA from 1 species
AUACGGAGGAUGCGAGCGUUGUCCGGAAUUACUGGGCGUAAAGAGCUCGUAGGUGGUUUGUCGCGUCGUCUGUGAAAUUCCGGGGCUUAACUCCGGGCGUGCAGGCGAUACGGGCAUAACUUGAGUACUGUAGGGGAGACUGGAAUUCCUGGUGUAGCGGUGAAAUGCGCAGAUAUCAGGAGGAACACCGGUGGCGAAGGCGGGUCUCUGGGCAGUAACUGACGCUGAGGAGCGAAAGCAUGGGUAGCGAACAGGAUUAGAUACCCUGGUAGUCCAUGCCGUAAACGGUGGGCGCUAGGUGUAGGGGUCUUCCACGACUUCUGUGCCGUAGCUAACGCAUUAAGCGCCCCGCCUGGGGAGUACGGCCGCAAGGCUAAAACUCAAAGGAAUUGACGGGG